GAAAAUGCUUUCCUUACCCAGACCAUGUAAGUUGGCCAGUCUAUUUUAUUAUCUAGAAUUCAAGUUAUUUUCUGGAAUCUUUUCUUAUGCUUUAUGAAAUGUUUUAAAAGGUAUUUCCAGUGUUUUAUGCAAGAAUGAGGGCCAAAAUGGCCCACUUUGAAUACUGACACGUUUCCGUUCAUCCUCCACGAGAGCACCAUUCCACAAAGUAUUAGCAAUCUGUUUUGAUGCCAAAGCCAAACAGUGACAGUUGCAAUAAUGAACAUUCGCUUCAGGGCGCUGGCAGAAAACAGCACAGAAAUGCAAACCCACUCCAUCUCAAACCUUGCCUUCCCACUACAGCACACCCAUUACUUCCAACUCCCUGUCACAUGUAUCGUUCCUAGAGGAUCACUGGUAGAACAGUGCAAAGAUAUCUGAAUCAGCCCCUGGGAAACAUUAAGAAGAGUGAAUCAGGAUUCUGGUUCCACAUCGUUUGGG
rnacentral:lncRNA from 1 species